CCGAAGUCAUAGAGUUUGAGACUGCGUCUUCAAUGGCGUGUGCUCGCUCUUACCCUUCUUAUCCACACCUCUGUGCACCAUGGGACGAAAUUAAAGUCCCCUUUUAUUAAUACCUAGUUAUAUGUAUGUCAUUAUAUACUCUAAGGAGUUAAUA
rnacentral:misc_RNA from 1 species